rnacentral:rRNA from 1 species
GAGUUUGAUCUUGGCUCAGAUUGAACGCUGGCGGCAUGCCUUACACAUGCAAGUCGAACGGCAGCACGGGAGCUUGCUCCUGGUGGGCGAGUGGCGAACGGGUGAGUAAUGCAUCGGAACGUAUCCUGGAGUGGGGGAUAACGUAGCGAAAGUUACGCUAAUACCGCAUAUUCUGUGAGCAGGAAAGCGGGGGACCUUCGGGCCUCGCGCUCUUGGAGCGGCCGAUGUCGGAUUAGCUAGUUGGUGAGGUAAAGGCUCACCAAGGCGACGAUCCGUAGCAGGUCUGAGAGGAUGAUCUGCCGCACUAGGAACUGAGACACGGUCCAGACUCCUACGGGAGGCAGCAGUGGGGAAUUUUGGACAAUGGGGGCAACCCUGAUCCAGCCAUGCCGCGUGAGUGAAGAAGGCC